UACGAAGGGGGCUAGCGUUGCUCGGAAUCACUGGGCGUAAAGCGCACGUAGGCGGAUCUUUAAGUCAGGGGUGAAAUCCUGGAGCUCAACUCCAGAACUGCCUUUGAUACUGAGGAUCUCGAGUCCGGGAGAGGUGAGUGGAACUGCGAGCGUAGAGGUGAAAUUCGUAGAUAUUCGCAAGAACACCAGUGGCGAAGGCGGCUCACUGGCCCGGUACUGACGCUGAGGUGCGAAAGCGUGGGGAGCAAACAGG
rnacentral:rRNA from 1 species